CCACAUGUGGCCCUGCAGCUGCUUCAGUGCUGUGGUCUUCCUGUCCAGAGACAUCUGCCAAUGCACGUUGUCUACGACCGCCUGGAUGACCCGCUCCAGCUCCUCUUCCCCACUUCCACUCUCCAAAGGGAUCGGCACGGCCCCGUCCAAGCUGGAGUCCUCCUGAGCCUGGAAAUCAUCCAUGAUAAAAAAGAGAAGUCCAACAUCCCGCUGGCACUCCUCUUCCUCCCAGUGAGCACGCAGAUACUCCUUUACGUUGUCUUUGAUGUAAGGGAACAAGGUCUCCUGGCAGCACACAAGAAAAACAGGCAGCUCCUUUAACAUGGCAGAGCAGGAGACCCGAGCCUGCCUGUGCACAGCUCCCAUCUCUCUGGGACCACACCGUCAGAUGGCCAGGCUCCUCGGAGACGUCCAGCCCCAGAUGUGGCUGCCCCAACACAGCUUGGCAGGAUGGAGAAACAGCCGUCAGCAAACACAGCUCGACAGCCCUCCUAAGCCUUUGCAACUGCUCACAGCAAUGUUAAACCCAGCAUAGAAAGGGUAGUAUUUUUACUGUCAGUAGACACCCACGUAGCACGCUUAGCACUUGUAGGGUCAAUUUUCCUCUCAAUGUCCAUGCAAACCGUCACAAAGUUCAGUGACAAUCUGCUCUUUUACAGGAGAUCUGGCAAAUCCCAGGGGAUGUAGUUUAUCAAAUUACAUCUUUCCUCUACCAUCUACUCUUCUCCGCCAGGGUGGACCCAGCAAAAGAGAAAACUUGGUGAUCUCUAACUACGGGCCACCAAAUAUUCUCUUUUCCGGUAUCUUUCCUUAAUCUACCCAUCAACUGGCUCAUUCUAUUUCCUUACUUUGCAUAUUCAAUAAUUCUAAUACUAAAGAAAGGAUUAAAUAAAAUCCUUUAAUUAAAGAAUAAAAUGCCUGCAGAACCAGCAGUUGACCUUUUAAAAGGAAGUAGAAAUUAUGGAGGUUAACUGAAAGUCCAAGUGAAAUAACUUGUUUCUAGCAUUUUCAGGACUUCCAGCAAACUGAGUUUUAUUGAGAACCAUAACUCAUUUGGCCUCCCUGCAACAGAAAGACUUUGGGUAGGAAACCAUCUCGGGCGUAUUGCAUGUUACUUGCACAACAGCAAAACGGAUUCAAGGUGGAUAUAACCAAAUUCAUUGCUCUGUUAGAUGUUUGGUAAGAAAUCUGAGCUGUUCAAACUGUUUAAAUUGAAAGAUAUCAAGGGGAUGGAGGCAGCUGUAAUGCCAUCUAGACCUGAAGUUUCUUCAAGAGCACUGGAAGAACAUGGACAGGAAAGAUGUAGGUCAUGCUGUUCAUCUGUUAAACUGUGUUAGCAGAAACACCUAGAAAGCCUGGCAAGAGACUUCACUCCUCCAUGCAUCAUGUGGGUCACAAAGCACCUUCGUAAACUACCAGCAAGAAAGAUCCACCACAAGCUAUAAUGUCACAUGGAGAAAUACAGGUUAAUGGCAGGAGCAGGGAUAAUUCCAUUCGGUGUCUUAAAUACAAGCAAAUUACCCCCUCCUGUGCAGCACACAAGCCUGGUUAGGGACCAAAACCUCUUGGAGAGGAGGGACCCACAGUGGCUGGAGAACUGCAAAUUUUAAUAGCAUAUUUACAGUGUUUGUCCUGAUGCCUCCUGCUGGCCUCGCAGACUUCCCAGUCCCCUGGCUUCUGCACCUAAACCAAAAUUUUCAAUAGUCUUAAGCCUUCUCCUAGGCAAGGGAAGCCACUCAAUACAUAUUUGCUGUUAGUACAGUCCUCGCGUACACUUGAUGCGCUGUGCUACCCUC